GGUUUCUUAGUGAAGUGGUUAUCACGACAGACUCUGAAUCUGUAGUCUCGAGUUCGAAUCUCGGAGAGACCU